rnacentral:lncRNA from 1 species
UCCAUUGUUCAAAUUGGCACGGUUCCUGGCGGCCUUUACGGGAGAUUGAGCAUGGCAAGAGGACAGUGGUACCUUUUAAAUAUCAAAUGCCAAGUAUAUUGAUCUAGGGGAUAAGCUGAAACUAUGCUUCCUAGCACAGAGAGAAUACACGAUCAGCAAUGGCAAAAGCUUAGUUCACACAUUGCCUGAUGCGACCAAAAUAAACAAUAAACAACUCAGCCUACAAAUACACGCAUAUUGUCUUUGCCCAUAGCAGCAAGUUUUCAAUGUAUUACAUGCACCUCACUGCCAACAGCAACCAAUGAAAAUUGCAAGCAAUUUUUUGUUCUAGUUUAAUUAGGAGUCGUCCAUAAACAUUUGUUACUAUCCUACCAUCCUUGAACUAAGUGGCUGCCGGUGCUGUAUGUACGCGCUCAUCAAUAGAAUCAGAGAUGGCGCCGGCGAUUAUCUCAUCAUGGAGUCCAUUGAUCAGCGAUGUCCCCUAUGACAACAUCAAAGUACUGAGUGGUACGAAAAAAAGAACAAAAUGAAUAAAAUCCAGUAUAAUAAAGAUGGUACAAUAGUUUUUCAGACUCAGUGAUAUGGAGAUGUUACUCAAAUUUUCAGAUACACUCUGUACAAGGUCAGUGUAGCUCGGAUUUUUUUCAAUCCAUCUCCAAAUAAAACAAAACUGCAUCCCACGGGGUUGGUCAAUAUUCUGGUGCAGACUUCACUAUCCUGAAUGAUAUCUGAAGUGCGAAUAAUAAGUUCGUUUAUUAAGAUGGAUAGUUUAAAACCAAAAAAAUCACAAACCACUUUAUUGUAUAAUUUAUCCAUUAAAUUAAGAUCAGUGCCAAAUACAUAAUUAAACCAAAAAUUAAUUUAACUACAACCAUGCAUAGUAAUCAGAGCAGAUGUUCCCACCCAACCUAUCACCCCUGUACAUACUACAGACUUCGUCCAAAAUUCACACUGCCGAAUCACAACCAUCCAAUACUCUUAGUCUUAUACAUACUGCAUGUAUUAUAUCUUGAUUUUGUGAGAGAUUGCUAACCAGAUAACGAUGAGAAAAUCAAGUAAUCUCAAAUUAUACAUAUAACUUACUAAAAGUGUCCACUCCCUAGCCCGUUCAGCAUUUUCAACAGAAAGUAAUGGAACCACCAACAUAAAAAGGGUAAGAUUGUGAUCAGAAGACUGUAGCUUACCAAGAUUAUUCUUUUUUUCCUGUCUACAGUGGGGUCCUGAACUUCUGAUCAUCACGGCUGCAGUACAGACAACAGAGAAGCUUACACUUGAUUAGAUUUAGAACUGAUUACCAUUAGCCCGACUGCGUUGUAGGUACCAUGUUACCUUGAAGGUACUAUGAAUAAAAUAAAUGUCUUACUCUGAAGUCUCGAUGAACAUAAUAAAGAUAUAUGUAGGGAAUAUAGAGUAACCCAAAAGGAGAACUGAUCCAAUUGAAAGGGGUCGUGUGAGGAAUGAAACAACUCCAUUAACACGUCAGACCAGGAUAAAACAAUCUAACAACAGUCAAAUAAAUAGACGAGCUGGUAUACUUGAAUUCCACUGCAGAAACAGGGGUGAUUACUUUUCAUUCUUAUUCCCCAAUAGGUAUUUUUUUAAGGUGGAUCAAAUGCACUCCAUUGUAUUAAUCAUUAGUCACUGCUGUGUCAGGUUAGUUUUAGCGUUUCAGGCAAAAGAUGAGCUCCAAAGAGUUUAUUAAAUCUGUCUAGCACCCUAGCUAGCAUAGGAUUACACCACCCAUAAUUCUUCGCAUGGUUUGUGGCACAGGAUGGCGCUGUCGCACUCCUGCAAUUGACGUGUGGUUAAAGUAUGACCAGCAGCUCAUUCACUUAAGAAGACAAACAAUAAUUGGUAGACACCUAGAGGAAAUGGAGUGAGAAAUGGCUCAGAUUAAGCAUUUGUAUUUGGUUCUGCAAUAAUAAUAACAUGGUUAGAACAUAAAUUACCUAAUACUCUGUUGUACGGAAUUGUUCUAACUCCAUCGACGAAUUGGAUCUGGGGCAAGUGUCUUAUAAUGCACAAAGUCUGCCACAAGACUGAGCAUCAAUUUUAUGCCAACAAUGUAUGGAUAAAGUAAUCCUUACUUGAUACAACUAUGAAAAAAAGGUAGUUAUACACAGAAGGCUAGAAAAGCUACAUCAAUUUUGUGUGUAAACAGAGAGUCCUGCAAGUGAUGCUCCAAUGGGUAGCCAAUGGAUAAAUCUACACCCAUGGGGGCACCUUGUGUGGCAGACUUGACAACCUGACAACCUGAUGAAAAAGCUAAGGACAUAAUACCUGGGUGUAGGUUUGUACAAUAGUUGAGGUUCAGAUCACUCAACUCUGGGGAUUUCACAUACAAAGCCUGCCAUGUGUGAAAUUAGUAGUGCAUACAAGACUAUAGUGAAAUUGAAAUGCAUUUUUGUCUUAUUCUCUGAGACCAACAAAAAAUACUCCUUUCUUACAGUGAUCUAACAUUAAAUAGUUUUGGAAUCAUCAGAGCUAUUACGAUGAUAUGUGCCUAUUUUCCUAAGAACUUUAACAACAUAAUAAGAAAAUUAAAUUGUGUUAUUAACCAAGUCGCAAUCCUGUCUAUGAAUUAUAAAAUAUCCAAAUGAAGAAGCAUUGAUCAGAAUUCAAAAUAUAGGUACAUAAUUUAUAUUCAAAUUAAGAAGCAUUGAUCAGAUGAAGGAGCUUUAGCAUUGAUAGAUAAAAUAUAAUUGUCAUGUAUCUGGCUCACAGCAUGCACUUUAUAUUCCCCGAGUCAUGGAUAAAAUAAAAUCAAGGAAUUUGACCAGCAUUCACAAGACCAAAAAUAAUAAUUUAGUCCAUGAAUUCAGUUGGUCUCCUCGGGCAAACAAGAUGAGAAUGGAAGAAUAAAUCAAUGGAUUUGGUCCAAUCCAAUCGAACAGAGGGGGUUUGGAGCAGCGUACCUUGAUGGGUUGAAGCCCUCCAUGGCCUGCACACCAUCAAUCACUUGCAGGAAUUCCUCAAAUCAAUGAAAAUGGCGGCCUGCUGCUACUGCUGAAACAACAGGACCAAGCAGUUAGCCUAGUAAAUAGUAAAUCCAAGAGUGGGGAGAGGAUAGAUGAGAUGCACGCACAAGGGUUGGACCUCCGUCCAUGGCGUCCGUGGCUCGGUGGAUGUGGC